rnacentral:rRNA from 1 species
GAUGAACGCUAGCGGCAGGCCUAAUACAUGCAAGUCGAGGGGCAGCGCGGUAGCAAUACUGGCGGCGACCGGCGCACGGGUGCGUAACACGUAUGCAACCUACCUUCAACUGGAGGAUAGCCCGGGGAAACUCGGAUUAAUACUCCAUAACACAGGGAUCCCGCAUGGGAAUAUUGUUAAAGCUACGGCGGUUGAAGAUGGGCAUGCGUUCGAUUAGCUAGUUGGUGUAGGUAACGGCUCACCAAGGCUACGAUCGAUAGGGGGUCUGAGAGGAUGAUCCCCCACACUGGUACUGAGAUACGGACCAGACUCCUACGGGAGCAGCAGUAGGGAAUAUUGGUCAAUGGGCGCAAGCCCUGGAACCCAGCCAUGCCGCGUGCAGGAAGAAGGGCCCCUCUGGGGUUGUAAAACUGCUUUUGAUAGGGACAAAUGCCACUUGCGAGUGGAGCUGAGUGUACCUAUAGAAUAAGCACCGGGCUAACUCCGUGCCAGCAGCCG